rnacentral:rRNA from 1 species
AUUGAACGCUGGCGGCAUGCCUUACACAUGCAAGUCGAACGGCAGCACGGGAGCAAUCCUGGUGGCGAGUGGCGAACGGGUGAGUAAUAUAUCGGAACGUGCCCAGUCGUGGGGGAUAACGCAGCGAAAGCUGUGCUAAUACCGCAUACGAUCUCUGGAUGAAAGCGGGGGACUCGCAAGAGCCUCGCGCGAUUGGAGCGGCCGAUAUCAGAUUAGCUAGUUGGUGGGGUAAAAGCCCACCAAGGCGACGAUCUGUAGCUGGUCUGAGAGGACGACCAGCCACACUGGAACUGAGACACGGUCCAGACUCCUACGGGAGGCAGCAGUGGGGAAUUUUGGACAAUGGGCGCAAGCCUGAUCCAGCAAUGCCGCGUGCAGGAUGAAGGCCCUCGGGUUGUAAACUGCUUUUGUACGGAACGAAACGGUCUGCCCUAAUACGGCAGGCUAAUGACGGUACCGUAAGAAUAAGCACCGGCUAACU